AACAAACUGUUGGCAUCAGUCCUCCACUGCCACUGCCCUGGGUCUGCAACACUCCCACCAUGAAAGUCUCAGAUAGUUUGUUCCUCAUGGCCCUUCUUUCAGCGGUUCGUGGCCAGCAACUCACCUCCUCAGAAUCGGUGGU